rnacentral:rRNA from 1 species
CCUACGGGAGGCUGCAGUGGGGAAUAUUGCACAAUGGGGGAAACCCUGAUGCAGCGACGCCGCGUGAGUGAAGAAGUAUUUCGGUAUGUAAAGCUCUAUCAGCAGGGAAGAAGAAAGACGUUCCCUGACUCAGAAGCCCCGGCUAACUACGUGCCAGCAGCCCCGGUAAUACGUAGGGGGCAAGCGUUAUCCGGAUUUACUGGGUGUAAAGGGAGCGUAGACGGCUGUGCAAGUCUGAAGUGAAAGCCCAGGGCUCAACCCUGGGACUGCUUUGGAAACUGUGGAGCUAGAGUGCUGGAGAGGUAAGUGGAAUUCCUAGUGUAGCGGUGAAAUGCGUAGAUAUUAGGAGGAACACCAGUGGCGAAGGCGGCUUACUGGACAGUAACUGACGUUGAGGCUCGAAAGCGUGGGGAGCAAACAGGAUUAGAUACCCGAGUAGUC